ACAGAGGUGGCAAGCGUUGUUCGGAAUUACUGGGCGUAAAGGGCGCGUAGGCGGCCGUCUAAGUCAGACGUGAAAUCCCCCGGCUUAACCUGGGAACUGCGUCUGAUACUGGACGGCUUGAGUAUGGGAGAGGGAUGUAGAAUUCCAGGUGUAGCGGUGAAAUGCGUAGAUAUCUGGAGGAACACCGGUGGCGAAGGCGACGUCCUGGACCGGCAUUGACGCUGAGGCGCGAAAGCCAGGGGAGCAAACGGGA
rnacentral:rRNA from 1 species